rnacentral:rRNA from 1 species
UACGUAGGCAGCGAGCGUUGUUCGGAAUUACUGGGCGUAAAGAGUGUGUAGGCGGUGCUCUAAGUUCGGUGUGAAAUCUCCUGGCUUAACUGGGAGGGUGCGCCGGAAACUGGGGUGCUCGAGCGUGGGAGAGGAAAGCGGAAUUCCUGGUGUAGCGGUGAAAUGCGUAGAUAUCAGGAGGAACACCUGUGGUGUAGACAGCUUUCUGGACCAUUGCUGACGCUGAGACACGAAAGCCAGGGGAGCGAACGGG